rnacentral:hammerhead_ribozyme from 1 species
AUUCAGCUGAUGAGUCCCAAAUCGGACGAAACGUGUAUCCUGAAU